CGCUAAACGGGAUUGAAAUGGAAAUCCUUUUUGUAUUGCUGAGCUGAGUUUACCGAAGUAUCGAAGCCCAAAAAGAUUGGAAUGUAAAGCCAGACUAACG
rnacentral:sRNA from 1 species